rnacentral:rRNA from 1 species
CAUGCAAGUCGAACGGAAGUUAGAGCUUCGGUUUUAACUUUAGUGGCGAACGGGUGAGUAACGCGUGAGGAACCUGCCUUUCAGUGGGGGACAACAGUUGGAAACGACUGCUAAUACCGCAUGAUGCUUUUGGGAGACAUCUCUUGGAAGCCAAAGCUUUAUGUGCUGAAAGAUGGCCUCGCGUCUGAUUAGCUAGUUGGUGAGGUAACGGCUCACCAAGGCGACGAUCAGUAGCCGGUCUGAGAGGAUGAACGGCCACAUUGGGACUGAGAUACGGCCCAGACUCCUACGGGAGGCAGCAGUGGGGAAUAUUGGGCAAUGGGGGAAACCCUGACCCAGCAACGCCGCGUGAAGGAAGAAGGCCUUCGGGUUGUAAACUUCUUUUACCAGGGACGAAGGACGUGACGGUACCUGGAGAAAAAGCAACGGCUAACUACGUGCCAGCAGCCGCGGUAAUACGUAGGUUGCAAGCGUUGUCCGGAUUUACUGGGUGUAAAGGGCGUGUAGGCGGAGAUGCAAGUUGGGAGUGAAAUCCAUGGGCUCAACCCAUGAACUGCUCUCAAAACUGUAUCCCUUGAGUAUCGGAGAGGCAAGCGGAAUUCCUAGUGUAGCGGUGAAAUGCGUAGAUAUUAGGAGGAACACCAGUGGCGAAGGCGGCUUGCUGGACGACAACUGACGCUGAGGCGCGAAAGCGUGGGGAGCAAACAGGAUUAGAUACCCUGGUAGUCCACGCUGUAAACGAUGAAUACUAGGUGUGGG